UCAGACAAUGUUCCUAUUUUAUAUGAUUUUGGGGGUUUGAAAUGGAGAAGGAAUCCAACCAAUUUUGAGAAAUUGUCAAGCAAGGAUGAGGGUUUUGUCAAAAAAUUUGGGAUUGUGGGAAAGUGCUAGAAUGAAUACGUCUCUUAGUUACAUUCUAACUGAGACAUUGAUGGCGCUAAAAGGAGAAUUAAGGGCAUGUUUGGGUAUUCCAAAUGGAUUAGGAAUAGUUACUCUUGGGAAUAAAAGAUGUAGAUGAAAAACUAUUCCUAUUUGGCUGUUGGUUUAUGAUGGAUUCAAUCUAAUGUUUAGUCUUAAUAUAGUUUUUUUCUUCUUUUUUUUUAAUUUGAAAAUUUAUCAUCUCUAGAAGUUCUUUUAAAAAAUUUCUUGUAAUAGAAAUCCAAUAAAAUCUACUCAAGAAACUCCCAAACUUUGUGACAACCAAAAUGAGAAUAUGACCAUCAUCAUGUCUCUCUCCAGGGAAGAUAAUCAAGAUUGCAUAAAAUGUUGUUUUAUGAAAAGAGAAAAUGGUUGAAGGCCUUGUCUUUCAAAUGGUGUUAUUUUCUAUAGGAUGAAAGGUUCAAAAGGUGAUUAAGUUGAAGAAUAGGGUUUCAUGGGAAUAAUUUUCUUUCAUUGAGAUUAUUCUUUUAUAGGGCUUACAGCAUAUACAAAUCCUUCAAAUUAGGAAACUAAAUCACGGAUUAAAAGGAAAGAAUAACUCCUAACAAUUACGUUCCUAAAAAUACAAAGAUUGACAACUAAUAAAUAAUUUACAGCUUUACAAAGUUAUUUCUUUCCAUAUCAGUUUCGGUUUUCCAACACUCCCCCUCAAGCUGGCUUAAAGAUAUCUUCCAUAGCCAGCUUGCCAACUAGAACAUCGAAUUGCCUCUUGUGUAGUCCUUUGGUGAAGAAAUCAGCCACUUGUUCCUCAGUAAAGAUAUAGGUCAUACAGACCAAUCUGUUGUCUAUCUUCUCUUUAAUGAAAUGUUUGUCCACUUCCACACAUUUGGUGCGGUCAUGGAGAACCGGAUUGUGAGUUACUGAAAUUGCUGCCUUGUUGUCAUAAUACAACUUCAUAGGAGAUGAACAUGUCAUCUUUAACUCUUCCAAUAAUCUUCUUAUCCACAUAAUCUCACAAAUACCAUGAGCUACAACUAUAAACUCAGCCUCAGCACUACUUCUAGCAACCAAGUUCUGUUUUUUACUUCACUACGUAACCAAGUUGCCACCUACAAAUGAACAGUACCCAGAGGUAGACCUUCGAUCCACUAUGCUUCCAGCCCAGUCUGCAUCGGUGUAGGUUUCAAUUUGUAGGUGUCCUCGUGACUUGAACAAAAGACCUCUACCUGGUGUCCCCUUUAGAUACCUUAGAAUCCUGUAAACAGCUUCAAAAUACUCUAAUCCAGGCGCAUGCAUAAACUGACUAACCAUACUCACUGAGAAUGCUAUGUCAGGGCGUGUAUGGGAUAGGUAAAUCAAUCUCCCAACAAGUCUCUGAUAACGAUCCCGGUCCUUCACAUUCUUGGCUUUUGUAGGUUGCAGUUUUACAUUCAGCUCUAUAGGUGUUUCAGCAGGCUUACAUCCUAACAUACCUGUCUCAUCAAGAAGAUCAAGAACAUACUUCCGUUGAUUUACAAAGCCUAGCAAACUCCAUCCCAAAAAAGUAUUUUAAUGCCCCCAGGUCCUUAAUCUCAAAUUCCUCAGCAAGUUUCCCCUUCAGCUUCUCUAGUUCAUUGUAAUCAUCCCCAAUUAACACAAUAUCGUCAACAUACACAAUUAAGAUGACUACUUUACCUUCAUUUGAAUGUCUGUAGAACAUUGUGUGAUCAGCUUGACUUUGAGUAUAUCCAUAAUGCUUUAUUACUUUGCCAAAGCGCUCAAACCAAGCUCUAGGCGACUGCUUAAGUCCGUAUAACGACUUCUUCAAUUUGCCCACUUUCCCAACUCCAAAACUUUCUUCAAAACCUGGUGGAGGACUCAUGAACACUUCCUCCUCUAGGUCUCCAUUAAGAAAGGCAUUUUUAACAUCCAAUUGGUGUAAAGGCCAAUUGGAAUUUACUGUAAGGGACAACAAAACUCUAAUCAAGUUUAUUUUAGCUACGGGGGCAAAAGUCUCUUGGUAGUCUAUCCCAUAGGUUUGAGUAAAACUCUUUGCCACAAGUCUGGCUUUGUAUCUUUCAACACUUCCAUCUGCUUUACUCUUUAUUCUAAACACCCAUUUACACCCUACAACUUUUUUUUCCCUUGGUAAAUCUACAACCUCCCAAGUGCCAUUCUUUUUUAAGGCAUUCAUUUCCUCAAACACUGCCAAUUUCCAACUCGGUUCAUCUAGUGCUUCUUGAAUAUUUCUAGGUACCACAAGUUUUGAAAUAUUUGUAGUGAAUGCUCUAUAGUUGUCAGAAAGGUUACUAUAGGAGAUAUAUUUGGCAAUGGGAUGUUUAGUGCAGGCUCGGGUUCCCUUUCUAAGAGCAAUAGGGAGAUCAAGGUCAAGGUCCAGUGCAGGAAAAAUUGGGGCUAAUCCUAAACUGGGUUCGGGUGCAAAUAUUUCUGGACUUGGACCAAAUUGUGAUGGUAAACUUAGAUCAGUAACAGAAGAAGAAGAAGCAUGUAUAUGAGUAGGAAUAGAAGGAGGGUUACCUGAGACAUUUAGAGAGCCAUUGCCCAAGGCUUUCGAUUGACCAUGUACUGGGAUGAUCGGCUGGUCUUUACUUCUUCCAGGGACUUUUUCUUGAAUAAACCACAAGCUCAAGAUUGUUUCUAUUUUUUUUCAUUCGUAGUAUUUCUUCUUUUGACAGACCAAUUUCAAAUUCGGAUUCAAUAGGCUUAGUUUCCUUAUUUUCUUUUUCAAAAGAGAUAUCAAGAAUUACACUAGGCAAAGGUUCAACAAUUUCCCAAAAAUUUGGUUCCACUAAUUUCUCCCCCUGAAGUAAAUUUUUGGUAAAAUAUGGGACAUUUUCCAUAAAGGAAACAUCCAUAGUUGUGUAAAAAUGUUUUGUAAGGGGAUUAAAACAUUUGCAACCUUUUUUAUUAGGAGUAUAUCCUACAAAAACACAUUUUUCUGCUCUUGGGUCUAACUUAGAUCUUGACCUUUUUGGAAUGUGUACAUAUGCAGUGCAACCAAAUAUUUUCAAGGGUAAUUCGGAAUUAAUUCGAGAUUCUGGAAAUACCUUUUUCAAGCACUCCAAAGGAGUGGUAUACUACAAAAAUUUUGUAGACAUCCUGUUGAUUAGAUAUGAAGCAGUUAGUAUGGCAUCCCCCCAUAAGUAUUUUGGAAUAUUCAUGUAAAACAUCAUAGCCCAUGUUACUUCUAACAAGUGUUUAUUUUUACGUUCAGCUAUUCCAUUCUGUUCAGGGGUAUCAGAACACGAGGAUUGAUGUAAAAUUCCUUUCUCGUUUGAAAAGGUUUCCAAAACUUUAUUAAAGUACUCAGUCCCAUUAUCAGAUCUCAAAAUACUGAUUUUUGUUUGAAAUUGGUUUUCAAUCAUUCUGUAAAAUUCUUUAAAAAUCCUUUCGACUUCAGAUUUUUCCCUCAUGAAAUAUACCCAACAAAGACGUGUAUGGUCGUCUAUAAAGGUCACAAACCAUUUUUUUCCUGAAAUUGUGGUUACUUUUGAAGGUCCCCAAACAUCACUGUGAAAAAAAUAAAAUGGUUUUGAUGCAUAGUAGGGUUUUGGAAUGUAAGUUUUUCGUUGGCUCUUUGCCAAUAAACAACUUUCACAUUGAAAUGAUAAAGGAUCAACCUUUUGAAAUAACACUGGAAAUAAAUGUUUUAAAUAAGAGAAACUAGGAUGGCCUAGUCUGCAAUGCCAAACCAUUAUUUGAUCACGAACAGAAAGAGAACUAAUACUACUUAGUCCUUGAGCAAUUUUAUUACUAGGUAAAUUAUCCUCGAAAUAAUAGAGACCAUUGAUCAUCCUAGAACUGCCAAUCGUCUUCCCCGAGCUCUGGUCCUGAAAAAUACAAUGGAAUUCAUAGAAGAUAACACAACAAUUAGAAUCUCUAGAUAAUUUGCUAACAGACGAGAUUACAAGUAAGUUUAGGAACAUGGAGAACAGAUUUAAGAUUUAUUCCCUCAGAGAUUUUUAUUAGACAUUUUCCUGCAAUAGGUGAGAAAUUACCAUCAGCUAUCCGAACCUUUUUAUUUCCAGGACACGAUGAAUAGGAUUCAAACAUGUUUGAGGAAUUGGUCAUGUGGUCGGAUGCUCCAGAAUCGAUUAUCCAUGGAGUAGAUUUAAAACGACAAGAUAGAGCAUAUAAUUCAUUACCUGUGUGUGCCAAAGAAACACUAGAAGCACCGGAUGUCAAGUUGGAUUUCAGCAGUGCAAGAAGAUGCUUCAUUUGCUCAGUGGUGAAGGGGCUGGUCUCAGCCUCAUUAGAAGUAGGAAUAAUGGCUUGGCCUGGUUUGUCACCUGUUUUUCCUUUCCAAUUUGUAGGUUUCCCAUGGAUUUUCCAACAGUUCUCACGAGUAUGGCGAGGUUUGUUGCAAAAAUCACACCAAACCCGUGGUCUUUCAUCUGAUUUGCGCUGAAACACAACAACUUUAUUAUAGCCUCCACCCGUGGUAACCAAGGCUAAACCUUCAAUAGCAACUCCAGGUCCCUUCUUGCCCAGCAUCACAUUCCUCCGACUCUCUUCUCUUCUAACUUCUGAAAAAACUUCACCAAUUGAAGGCAGGGGUUGUCUUCCAAUAAUUCUCCCCCUUACCUCAUCAAACUCGACAUUAAGGCCAGCCAAGAACUUGAAGAUCCGAUUGUCUUCCAUGGUCUUCUUAUGAUGAAGUCCAUCCUCGGCAGAUUUCCACUCAUAGGUGUUGAAGAGGUCAAGGUCUUGCCAGAUUCGCUUCAAGUAGUUGAAGUACUUUGUGACGUUGUCCUCCCCUUGUCGUAUCUCACCAAGUUUGAGGGUUAAUUCAAAGAUCUGUGAUUGAUUCCCUAAAUCAGAAUACAUCUGAUUUACAUUCUCCCAAAGCUCUUGUAUUGUUGGAUAGAACAUGUAAUUAGAGCUAAUGUCUUCUUCCAUAGAAUUCACAAGCCAUGUCAUCACCAUGGAAUUCUCAACACCCCAUAUAGCAUAGUUCGGAUCAUCCACUACAAGAGCCUUCUUUUCACCCAUCAGGCAGCCCAUCUUUCCACGUCCUCUGAUGUACAUCCGAACUGAUUGAGACCAUCUCAGAAAGUUGUCACUAUUCAAGCGAAUCGUGGUAAUUUGGACAAAGUGAGAUUCCGAGGUGGUAGGACUGAUUUUUGAAGAAUCAAUGAUGAUGGGAUUGUUCAGAGAAGGUUGAGGAACAGUAGUGGACUCGUUUGAAAUAUCCGACAUGGUUUCAGAGAACAGGGAUUGAAAGAGAGGAAGAAGGAGGAUUUCGGCAAGCAAAUUGCUAGCUCUAAUACCAAGUUGAAGAAUAGGGUUUCACGGGAAUAAUUUUCUUUCAUUGAGAUUAUUCUUUUAUAGAGUUUACAGCAUAUACAAAUCCUUCAAAUUAGGAAACUAAAUCACUGAUUAAAAGGAAAGAAUAACUCCUAACAAUUACUUUCCUAAAAAUACAAAGAUUGACAACUAAUAAAUAAUUUACAGUUUUACAAAGUUAUUUCUUUCCAUAUCAGUUUCGGUUUUCCAACAAAUUAGCUAGGAAGGCAUUUUCAAGAGAACAUCGGCUUUGAAGGAGUUAAAUGGUGAAAAGAUAGAAGGUUUAGAUGGUUUUUCUAUGAGAUUAGUGCGAUCUAUCAUGGGUUCGAGGACAAGAAUGUCAUGAGGAUUGCCAAGGCUUUCCAUUAGAUAGGUGACGCAAGUUUGAACAACCAAAUAAAAAAUAAAAAUAAAACCUUAUUGAAGUAAGAAUAAGCAAAAUUGGUUUUAUUGAGUCUCAUCAAUUGUUUAUAAGUGUCAAACACUGGUUAUCAUAUUUAUGAGAGUCUAAAAGGUCACAUAACAGAGUAUUGAAAAAGAUUAUUUAAGUUGUUUUUUUUUUUUUUUUGAUAGGUAAAUAAAAAUAUAUUAAAAACGCUUGCAAAACGGCACAUCGGAGUACAUACGAAGUAUACAAGGACAGGCCACAAGGCAAGCAAGAGGGGAGAGAAGAAGCUAAAAACCUAUCACCCUACACAAUAACCCCCCAGAAACCUCAUACAGCAGAAGAAACAAAACAACUCCCUCAAAUGGGCCUCUACAACAACCCCAACAAAGUUUUGGGUAUGAGAAGGCCUGUGGUUGCCCAAAGAAAGAGGCCCAAUCUCCAAUCCACCCAUACCACCUGCAACACUGGGCCCCACCACUCCAGUUGUACUCCUCUCCCUUCAUUCCUACUCCUCCCCUACUUUUACAGCCUUUGACCAACUUAAAGUUGUUUCUCCCCCUAUCUAAGAAACACUGCCAAAAUUCUACAACACGAUGCCACCUGUAGGACGUGCAAGCUACCUUUUCUCUCCUACUCUCUCACAGGCGCGUGGACCACCCUCCACUUCUUCCCUGUCCUCCUAACCAUAAGGCCCGCUACAGUUGUUGCUUGAAGUAUCCAUAGAAACCCAAGAUGGAGCUUUCCACCACAACUGAACCAAAAAACCGAAGCAACCCAGAUCUACUUGCAGAGAACCGG
rnacentral:lncRNA from 1 species